rnacentral:rRNA from 1 species
UACGGAGGGGGCGAGCGUUAUUCGGAAUCAUUGGGCGUAAAGCGCACGUAGGCGGUCUGUUAUGCCGGAUGUGAAAGCCCUCGGCUUAACUGAGGAAGUGCAUCCGAAACUGGCAGGCUAGAGUACCAAAGAGGGUCGCGGAAUUCCCGGUGUAGAGGUGAAAUUCGUAGAUAUCGGGAGGAACACCGAUGGCGAAGGCAGCCCCCUGGGUCAAAACUGACGCUCAUGCACGAAAGCGUGGGGAGCAAACGAGG